CUGAAGUGAUGUCAAACAGAAAUUCUCUCUUUGGCAAACAUCUAUCUGAGGCUAGGAUAUAAAAGUAGAUUCUUUAUCUCGUCCAGACUCCCCACCGCCAUCACCCUGCACCCUCUACCCCGCCCCUCUCCCCUGGUACAGGGAGCUACAAGACUGUGAACCUUUUAAAAAAGAUGAAUUUGUUUUCAUUGUAUCAAUCACAUUAUUGUUACAUGCGUGUUCUCCCCCCACGCAAACCCCUUCCUGAUUGUCCUUCGAUAACAGUAUUUGCUUUCUAUGCGUUGUUGUUGCUAUUGUCUUAUGAAAUAUGCCUUCUGUCUCUUUAGUCUUUACCAGGAAUGGCACUCUUAACAGAAUGGCAUCCUUUUAAAAAAAUCGGAUUCUUUAAUUGUUUUCUGAGGCUGUGAAAAAUUCAGAGAAGACACAACUAGUUUGAGAUUACAAGUAAAACUCUUGUGCAGGGAAUAGGGGAGCUUUUCUUUGUGUGUGUGUUUGUGUGUGUGUGUGUGUUUUGCGUGCAUUGCUUGUGUGUGUAUGUACGUGUGUGUGUGUGCGUGCGUGCGUGUGUGUAUGUUUUGAGACAAACACAUAAUCAGAAUUUAAGAUUUUUACGAGUGUGUGUUCCGGGCACUUGUUGUUCUUUUACCUCUUGCCCGUUGAGCCUUAAUAACUGAAGUCAAUCUGUAAGGGCAAAACCAGAACCACUGACCGAGGACGUUAGGCCAAAGAUGAACUGUGUGUCUCUAUUCAUGAAGACUCUGUUUGUUCAUGAGUACCUGAUCUUAAAAAGGACUUUCCCUUCCUUAGCUUGCUUUUUUGUGUUCUGACACCAAGAAGUUAAGAAAGCUAAUUUUGGGACCUUUGAAAAUUACAUUUUUAAUUUGGAAACAAAUUGCCUUGUACACAGAUGGUUGCAAGGAAGCCUGUCAAGGUUUGCAGGCUCCUACUCACUAUUUUACAUUGUGUACAACAGUAUGCAGGAAAUCUGCUGGAUUACUUUGGCACAACAUGAAGAGGGCGCUCCGGAGCAAGCAGAUUUAAAUCUUUUUGAAUGUUUGAUGAUAGCAGAGGAGAAAGAUAAAGUUUAGGGAUAAUUAGGGAUUCACAUUUAGCUGACUGUUGAAAAUGUGAUCCCGUUAUUCAGAAGUUGUCACAGGGACAGCCUCAUUUGUGCAAACCACAAAUAUUUUGACACUUUUUAACAAAACUAUACUUUUCUGGCUUUGCAACAGCAGAGAGCACCGUGAACACUUAACAAUGUAAACACCCUUUGCACUGGUCUCAUGACCUUACAAUACACUGAAAGUCACAGUGGCCGGGCCGUCUGUCAGUGGUUCUGUGAGAAACCAGGCACUGUGUCGGGCUGUCAGGGUCUGUAGAGCCUGCGAUUUAAACCACGGGGAAACUAAGCGCUCUGCUCACUAGCAUUUCUAUCGGGACGGGGGUCAAUUCUCUUUCAACUGAGUUUGUAUUGCAUUUUGAAAGAACUUAAUUUAAUGCCUCAAAAUACGAACCCACUAUAAAUAAGAUAAUUUGUAGCCUGACAUAAUUCCCCUAAUAUCUAGCUUGUCGGGAGUCCUCUCCAUAUCCAAUCAGCACAUUUCUCAAAGUAUUUAUUCUUUAUCAGAUUCAGACAGUUGGAACAGAAGUGAACCCCCAACCCUACCCUCUAACCCACAGUGUCCAUGUCUUAAGUGGGCUGUUUUCCAGCUCCUAUUCUGGGCUGAACUUGAUUAUGCAACAUAACGCGGACCUCGCUCCAAGCACUCUUCUGAACUCAGUAGUAAAGCAUGGGGGUAUCCCUAUGUUCCCACGGUCCUCAUUGUAAUCCUCUUUGCUAUCUCCACAUAGAUGUUUGAAAUGCAGUUUGAAUGGUAAAAAUCUUUUCAGCCACUGCGGAGAUCAAUGUUCAAGAAAACGGUCUGUCUGCAAAUUUAAGGGUGUAGGUUUCAAGGAGUAUAACGUCAGUAGGCUAUAAGCUGUCUGUGAUUUCACCAUAACUGACCCAGGGAAACAGACAUUGAAAAAAGCAUUUCUGAGAACAAAGAACCUUGGGAACAUAGAUAUGCCCCUAAACAGCACUAGCUGGUUGUUGUACUGCUGAUAUACUGGUCACAUGGGUUGUCAGAAGAACCUUAAAAAGAAGGGCCGGAUGCGUUGAAGCCUGUGCUGUUGAUCACUCAACAAAGCCACCUCUGAAAUCACUUUUAUAAUAUACGGCAAGAGUUGUGACUGUGCACUGACAAACACAGACAUGAACUCAAACGUGUGUAGCCAUGUCUUAAUUAAGGGGCUGAGUGUGAACGUGAUCAAUGGAACACGCUGUUCACAAUCCCAGUGUGUCCCUUUACAAACAAAAAGGCAAAAACACAUUUGACGUUUAUCUUGUCAGAAUUACCGUUGUUGUUGUUGUCAUUUCAAAAGCUAGUAAGCAAGAGCAAAAGGUUAUUAACCUUUUCACAGUAUAAUAACUGAGAUGGACGUGCAGGCUUCCUGUGAGCUAAAUGCAUGCCAUAAACAGGGGAAAUUGUUGUUUGGUCUGUACACUGCAAAAAAAAAAAACAAACUAAUUUCACCUUUUGUUUCUACAUUAUUAAGAAUCUAAACUAAAUUCAGUCACUUGUUUGGAACAAUGUUGUCCUUUUUUUUUGCAGUGCAGAGCAAUACAAUGUUCCAAUUUCGCUUAACAUCCCCCUCUGCUUCAACUAAAAAAAUUCCAACAUAGUUACUAAGCACAUCUUUCUAGAAGAGUAUAUGCAUUUGAUUGCAAAUUUCUUUCUUUUGUAAACUGUUGAUAAAGACAUUAAGGACAAUGACAAAUAAUAAAGAUAAAUCCAUGUACAUAAAUGUAUAUAAUCAAAAAGUGCAGAGUAAAUGUAACGGGUGAAUAUCUAUUUUUAACACUGACUAGAUAAUGUGAAAAAAAAUCUUUUUCUUUCUUCUUCUUCUGUUGGUUUGAUGACAUGUGUUGUUUCUUUUCAAAUCUAAUAAGACAUUUGUUUCGUAGUUUCUUUAAAAAAAAAAGAAUUGGUCCCCCUUGUGUUGUGCACUCUUGUUGCAUGGAGAGUAGCCUUCUUGUUUUCUUAUAGUGACGUUGGUGAGCAUGUCAGUGUGUGUGAGACUGUGGGGCUCCCUUAACAUUGAUCAUCCGAGUAAAACAAAAACCCCACAUUGACAAUUAUUAAUUAAGGAUCCUUUUAUUAUUAUAACACAGCUUGCUAUUUCUGCACUGGACCUCAUAUAAAAUAUCAACAAAAACAGUCAGUGACGUGUGAGAUUUAGUUGGUUUGGUUCUUAAGCUUUAGAAAAAGUUCAGGUCAGACGGGGCUAAAAAAUAUCAAUGCUUUUGGGUAUUUUGGAUCAGAUUGGAUUAGUCGGUUUUAAACUCUCCAGACUCAGCAGUUCAAAUAUGUCGACAUGUAACAAAAGUAGUGACAUAUCCAACCUGGUAUACAACUUGUUCUAUUACAAGAAACAGGAAGCAGCCAGUUUCCACAGUCAAAAUAUUCUAAUGAAUUUUCUCCCAUUUGACAUUCAGACAUUGAAGGAAUCAAGUUUUGACACAAAUGUUUGUAUUUCAUUAAAUGGAUCCCUCGCUCCUUAUUCUUAGGGAGAUUUUCCCCACUUAGCACAUGAGUAUGUCUCAUUAAGCACAUGAAAAAUGAUAAUGGCCCAUCGCUUUACGAGCACACUGAUCAGCUCUGGUGACCAUUAUAGCAGGAACAUUGAUAUUUUAUAUACAGAGACAAACACACACUGAAACCUCCACUGUCACACUGAGGAUAGCAGAUGUCACACCUCAGAGCCUGCUGACGACGACCCAGAUAAAGUCUUUUUGCUGACGGAGUUGUUGCUGUGACACUGAUGCAUGUGUUUGUGUUUUUCCUGCUUCCUGUUGUUUCUUUUGCAGUUCGUGCAAACUUGUUUUCCUUCGAUAUUGUUCUAAAUAUUCUGUUCAUGUAUAAAGCGGGAAUGUUCAUCUGUGAACAGGUAGUGAAACAUUUGAAGAAUUGUAUCCCCAUUGAGAACUAGACGGGAUAGAGUUCACGUCUAAAGGUGACGUCACUGACUGUGUCUGUCUGUGUGCGAGUGCCUCGACUCACUUCUUCUGCAAAUCCGACAUUUUAAGUAUUUUCUAUUGAAUGCAGUAACUUAUGGGCCAGUACUAUAUUUACUCAGUGCAAUGCAGUUAUCCUUAUAAUAAUACAAUUAUUAAUAAUAUUUUUUCUUUCUUUUUUUUGUAUUUGUACAGAACAAAUGUGUAAAGAUCAGUGAGGAAAACGUGAGCUUUUUGAUACUGUGACUCAUAGUGUUUAAAAGUCAGUUUCUCCCUGUACAGUUGUGAUUAUUUCCCCUUCCCCACUUCUUCUUUUAUAGAAUAAAAAAUGUUUUUGGUGCAAUUUAA